rnacentral:rRNA from 1 species
GAUGAACGCUGGCGGCGUGACUAAUACAUGCAAGUCGAGCGAAGCGGGGACGGGUGAGUAACCCGUGGAUAACCUCCUAUAAGACUGGGAUAACUUCGGGAAACCGGAGCUAAACCGGAUACUUAUACAUCGAUCCGCGCUUCAUUAGCUAGUUGGGCAGGUAACGGCUUACCAAGGCAACGAUGCAUAGCCGACCUGAGAGGGUGAUUGGCCACAAGGGAACUGAGACACGGUCCGUACUCCGACGGGAGGCAGCAGUAGGGAAUCUUCCGCAAUGGGCGAAAGCCUGACGGAGCAACGCCGCGUGAGUGAUGAAGGUCUUCGGAUCGUAAAACUCUGUUAUUAGGGAAUCGGUACCUAAUCAGAAAGCCACGGCUAACUACGUGCCAGCAGCCGCGGUAAUAC